rnacentral:rRNA from 1 species
CACGGGGGGAGCAAGCGUUGUUCGGAUUUACUGGGCGUAAAGGGCGCGUAGGCGGCCACCGCAAGUCGACUGUGAAAUCUCCGGGCUUAACUCGGAAAGGUCAACUGAUACUGUGCGACUAGAGUGCGGAAGGGGCAACUGGAAUUCUCGGUGUAGCGGUGAAAUGCGUAGAUAUCGAGAGGAACACCUGCGGCGAAAGCGGGUUGCUGGGCCGACACUGACGCUGAUGCGCGAAAGCCAGGGGAGCGAACGGG